GAAAAUUAAAUGCAACCACUAACCCACCACCAAGGGUUUCAUCUUGUUGUAAUUCAUCAACAUAUACAUUUACAUGAAAUCGUACUUUUAAGAAUGUGUUGUUUUGAGUUUACUAAAAAUACGUUGUCUCUUUAGAACAGUGACGGAGGCAGUGAAGGAACUUCAGUAUAGGAGAUGGCAUCUCAUUUCUUCACUGUUCUCACAAAGGUGACCAGCUGUGUGACAAAUCCUCUAGAAUCUGGAGCUGAACCCUGAGGGAAUAGUACCAGGAAAUUAUGUUUUGGCUUCACUUCUGAAUCAACAAUGAUGGUCGCCAUCUGCAGAGGAUGAGGGAGAAGGAACAGUUUAGCGUUCAGUUUCUUUGAAAACCGCAGAAGGGAAAAUGCAGUGGAGAACUUGUGAACAACU